rnacentral:rRNA from 1 species
GUGCCAGCCGCCGCGGUAAGACGUAGGAUGCAAGCGUUGUCCGGAUUUAUUGGGCGUAAAGAGUUCGUAGGCGGUUUGUUAAGUCUGAUGUUAAAGACUGGGGCUCAACCUCGGAAAUGCAUUGGAUACUGGCAGACUGGAGUGCAGUAGAGGCAAGUGGAAUUCCCAGUGUAGCGGUGAAAUGCGUAGAUAUUGGGAAGAACACCGGUGGCGCAGGCGACUUGCUGGGCUGUAACUGACGCUGAGGAACGAAAGCCAGGGGAGCAAAUGGGAUUAGAAACCCCAGUAGUCC